AUUGAACGCUGGCGGCAGGCCUAACACAUGCAAGUCGAGCGGAGCGGCGGACGGGUGAGUAAGGCCUAGGAAUCUGCCUGGUAGUGGGGGAUAACGUCCGGAAACGGGCGCUAAUACCGCAUACUAUCAGAUGAGCCUAGGUGGGAUUAGCUAGUUGGGGGGGUAAAGGCCUACCAGGGCGACGAUCCGUAACUGGUAUGAGAGGAUGAGCAGUCACACUGGAAUGUAGACACGGUCCAGACUCCUACGCGAGUCAGCAGUGGGGAAUAUUGUACAAUGGGCGAAAGCCGUAUCCAGCCAUGCCGGGUGUGUGAAGAAGUUCUUCGGAUUGUAAAGCACUUUAAGUUGGGAGGCGUUACCAACAGAAUAAGCACCGGCUAACUUCGUGCCAGCAGCCGCGGUAAUUC
rnacentral:rRNA from 1 species